rnacentral:rRNA from 1 species
CGCAUCUGUGCAUGCAGCAUAUCAAUAAGCGGAGGAAAAGAAACUAACAAGGAUUCCCCUAGUAACGGCGAGUGAAGCGGGAAGAGCUCAAAUUUGAAAUCUUAAAGGGUUUCCCUUUACGAAUUGUAGUUUAAAGAAGUGUUUUCUGUUGAGGUUUUGGUAAAAGUUCUUUGGAAUAGGACAUCAUAGAGGGUGAGAAUCCCGUAUUUGACCUUUACUUUCAACUUUGUGAUACACUUUCAAAGAGUCGGAUUGUUUGGGAAUGCAGUCCAAAAUGGGUGGUAAAUUUCAUCUAAAGCUAAAUAUUGGCGAGAGACCGAUAGCGAACAAGUACCGUGAGGGAAAGAUGAAAAGAACUUUGAAAAGAGAGUUAAACAGUACGUGAAAUUGUCAAAAGGGAAGCGUUUGACACCAGUGUUGUUUUUCUGAAAAUCAAUUAAAGAACUGUUUAUGCUAAGUUGUUUAGACUUUAUCAGCUAACUGUUUAGUUUUGAGCUUUUCUUUAAUGCACUUUUCAGUUAACAAGUCAACAUCAAUUUCUUUUGCUGUAAAAAGGCUUGAGGAAGGUGGCUUGAGAUUCGUCUUAAGUGUUUAUAGCCUCUUGCCUAUGCAGUCGGAGAGAUUGAGGUCUGCAGCGUAGAUCCUUCGGGGCUAAAUGCAUUUGUGCUAAGUUAUAGCAUUUUAUAGACAACUUGUUGACUAUGAUUUGUCUUGUAGCUUACUCGCUUAUGUUAUUUUACCUACGCUUAGGAUGUUGACAGCAGUAUAGACUGU